GCCUCGGUAGCUCAGUUGGUAGAGCAUGAGAUUCUUAAUCUCAGGGUUGUGGGUUUGAGCCCCAUGUUGGGCA